AAUCAUAAUUAUGUUGUUUAUAUACAUACUUAGGGAAUGAUGCAGAAAAGAUUAGCAUGGCCCCUGUGCAAGGAUGACAUGCUUAUUCAUGAAGCAUUCCAUAUUUUU
ensembl:snRNA U6 U6 spliceosomal RNA